AAUGAAGUUAAAUGAAACUCUCUCCGCAACAUUGGGCUAAAACCUUUUGCUGUUUCUUGCUGAGCCUACCUGGCUGGUGCCAUCAGUGAAAGACAAAUCAGAACAGAUGAAGAAUGUGACUUUCAGGGGAUAAAUUAGCACCAGAAGCCUGGAAGGAACUCCCUGCCAGCAGGAGGCGGCCAGCUCUAGCUUCCUGGGGCUUUGAAAAAGACCUGGCUCAGUCCCGAGGCUGUGACAUGGUGGAGGAAAUGCUGGACUAAGAACCAGACACCUGGCUUUGAGAACGCAGAAGGGAAAAAGAAAAACUCUUCAUUCAAGAGAAGUCAUGAUUUUAAAGUAUAUUCUACGAACGCUUCACUGUCAAGGACUCUGUGGAGGAGGGAAUGGAGGACAGUGUUUUUAGAAGCUGUGACCUCUGGGCAAGCCUCACUUUAAACAGUGAAAGUGUCGCUUAAAAGUUGGCUGCAAGUCAGGUUUUUGUCCACUAAACCCUGCUUCAAGUGCCCAGUGGAAACUUGCUCCAUAAAAUAAUUACGUGGUAAAAGUUUUAUGGAGGAUGGUUUUUAUUCAAAGUCACCCCCUAAAUCAACUGACUUGUAAAUGAUGUGUUCUGUAACUACAAAAUGAAGACCCCAAGAAGCUUCAGGGACCUCAAAGAUCCUGGAUUCAAUACCUGCAUAUUACAGACAGAGAAACUGAGGUACGGAGAGGACACACAGAGGCCACCACCCUGCAUGAGAUGAGCCCCAUGGCAGAAACUUGGUUACAAUGACUAAUGUAAUCGAUCAGGCUAAGUCGCUCCCUACAUUUCACUUUCAAAUGUUUCAAAUCAUGAAGAUUGCUUGACUAGCUGUUGGCUUUGUGGUAUGAAGACACAGCCAAAGAAAGGGUGAGCAGUCUUUUUCUUUUGACUUGGUAAAGCUAGGAAGGCAAAUGAAUGAGGGAAAGAAAUCAUAUCCAUAU
rnacentral:lncRNA from 1 species